rnacentral:lncRNA from 1 species
GGCUCCUGGGUUCCUUCCUUUGCUCCUUCAUCCUUUCCUCGCCUGCCCUCCCUCCGUCUCUUACACUCUUGAGUUGUUCAAACUUAGAAUACUUAGAAAUGCAGGCACAUUUUUUUAAUUUUUAAAAAUUAUAGUUCAUUUACGGUGUUCCAUCAAUUUCUGCCGUACUGCGUAGUGACGCAGUCAUACAUGUAUAAACAUUGUUUUUCUCAUAUCAUCUCCCAUCAUGUUCUGUCCCAAGAGAUUGGAUGUAGCUCCCUGUGCUGUAAGCAGGACCUCAUCGCUUAUUCAUUCUAAAUGGCCUAGUUGGCAUCUGCUAAUCACAGACUCCCUGGCCACCCCACUCCCUCCUCUUCUCCAGGCGCAUUUUUAAACAGGCUCUGAAUGACUUGAGAGAUAGGAGAACUUUGAAGCCCAUGUCACCGGCCACUUUUCGCUUUAUUCAGUUUUACAUAUAGGACAUUUCAGAAGACAUCGCUGCAGCUGCCAAGUGCGGAUGUUAUUAAUAACCUUUAAAAGUAAGUCUGUGAACUUUACAUCCUAUUAGUUUAUAGACAGGCUGGUAAAAAUGCAACGUAAAUUUCUGAGACGUUCCCUCCUGCAGAAAAGGAAGCAGAUAACUGUCUCAUAAAACGUUACGGCUGAAAUCUUCCUCAGCCCUUCACCUCUUUGGAGUCGUUAAUGCUAACUGUGCGUGGACAGUAAAACCCACCCAUUAAUUUCUCUGUCCGUGGUCAUCUGCCACCCAGAGCUGAGAUGAGAGGUUAUUUUCUUCCAGAAGGAGAUCCUUUUUUUUUUUUUUUUUUUCUUUUCUUUCUCCAGAAUAAUUAAAAAGUUGUAAGACCCGGGAGAAACACGAGCCCACCUCUGCAGUGGACUUUUAGGUGGCUGGUUUGAAGAAGCAUAGCCUGGUUCUUAACCAACGUGUGACACCUCAUUAGCUGUUUUACUUCUCUAAAGCCCAGGGUUUUUCAUCAGGAAAAAAAAAAGUACAGAAAUAAUAUGCAUAUAAAACGUAAAUGAUGGCUGUUACAGAAUUACUUUUUUUUUUUUGUCUUUGCUAUUUCUUUGGGCCGCUCCCGCGGCAUAUGGAGGUUCCCAGGCUAGGGGUCGAAUCGGAGCUGGAGCCACCGGCCUACACCAGAGCCACAGCAACUCGGGAUCCGAGCCGCAUCUGCAACCUAUACCACAGCUCAUGGCAACGCCAGAUCCUUAACCCACUGAGCAAGGGCAGGGACCGAACCCGCAACCUCAUGGUUCCUAGUCGGAUUUGUUAACCACUGCGCCACGACGGGAACUCCCAGAAUUGCUUUUUAACAUUACUUUUGUGCCUUCCCACAAAAGCAGUUCAUCAAAGGAUAAACCCUUUGGACUCCAUCUCUUAAAACGAGUGCUUAUUUAUACACUUAUUUGCAUCACGGUCUUUCUUGCACCCUCUUCCUAGCCACCCAGAUGUCUUAGAGUUUCUUAACGUGUAUUUGUCUGUGAGAACUGGUAGAUAUUCCCCUCCUAUGAUGAGACUGUUUCAGACUCACAGACAAACAAGAAAAGACGCACUUGCCGAGUGGGAUGGCCUGGGAGUUGGGGUUAGCAGGUGUAGACUCUUGGGUUUGGAAUGGAUGAGCAGUGAGGUCCUACUGUCCAGCACAGGGAACUGUAUCCAGUGUCCUGGCACAGACCCUGAUGGAAAAGGACAUUAGAUGGGACUUAUAUUAUGUGUGUGAUGGAGUCACUUUGCUGCACAGCAGAAAUAGGCGCGACAUUGUAAAUCAACUGUACUUUAAUAAAAACAAUCUUUUUUUAAAAGAGGGGACUGUUUUCAGUUCCCGUUCUUCACAGAUGAAAUUGGAAUGCAGACCUGGGUAGUGAUGAGGAGAUGGCGUUCUCCUGUGAAGACCUGGCUGCCAAGGCCUCCUCUAGCCCCCGGGCAGGUUACACUUUCUGAGCUCUAUUUGCUCAUGUGUAGAAGGAAUUUAGUACCGGUGCUUAAUUUCAAAGAGUUGUUGUAAGAACUGAGGGAAAUAAUCCAUGUAAACCUCAGUCCCUUUCCUCUUUUUCUCUAAAGUACAAAUCUCAGAUCUUGACGUAACUCACAUUGUGUCUCUUCUCUGGAACUGCAGUUUCCUUAAGUGUGUUGGGUGGGGUCACUGCUAUUGGAUGAGCUCAUUUGCGUCAACCACUGAGCAUUUUAUGGAGCUGGAGAUACAUAGUAAUGUUUAGCAUAUCUUCCAUUAAUGGUUAGCUCUUUCCAGUCUAAGUUUUUUAAAAAGAUACGAGUGGAUUUAAAGAAAAAUGUGAACGAAGUAGAAGUACCAGUGGGAUGUGGCCAUGACAGAGUCGUGGAGGUAGAAAGUUAAUGAUGGGCGGGGUGGAGAUGGGGGACCUGCCAUCUGAAAGUGCUGGUUUUAUCCCAGCAUCCCAUUAGAUUCGGGAUUUGAGGAAUGUUAGGAUGAAAUGUGACUCAGCACUUUGUGGCUCUGUGACUUUGGACAAGUUAGUUAAUAUUUUCCUCCCUCCCUCCUCUGCUGUAAGUGUUUAUGAAGGCUUAUCACUUCUCCUUAUCUGAAAACUGUAGAUGCUACCCUUUUUGUGAAGACAGUGCAAAGAGAGAAGAUAUCUACUUAGUAGUCUUCUCUUCCAAGCUUAUACCUGUGCAGUCAGUGCUCAGUAAAUGUUAGUUCUGGUCUUAUUUAGGACUUGUGGUCUCCAGUGGUAGAAUCCCAGCCUCAACCAGCUUGGGACAGAAGGAAUUUAUUGUCUCCUGUUCUCAGUCUGUAGGAGGGUUAUCAGUGACGUAGCCUUGGGGGCAGCUGAAAGCCAGGACUCGGUUACCACCAGCACCCCCUCCAUCGUUUGUUUCUGGUCCUUUAGGAUCCUUCUGUCUGGCCAAAUUCUUCCCCACACCUAGAAACAGAAGCCCUGGGGGCCCCCAGGCGCGAAUCAGCAGAAAGGGGCUGCACGUUAUGAUCCCCGUUCCUAAGCCCAGAAAUCCUAGGCCGCCCUGAGCCCAGCAUGGGCUCUGCUCACCUGGACCGGCACCGGUGCUCAGAGAACAGGCAUCAAAGAAAAGGGGCAGCGCCCAGUUGAACCCUGUGUUUAGAGUGACAGGAAAGGGGGAGGAUGGGCACCUGCCGCCAUCGCCUUGAACCCUUCAGCUUGUGUGCCCUGUGGGGGGGGGAGGUACAUCCCCGCUGCGGGCUUCAGUUUUCCCAUCUGAAAUCUUGAGCUGUAGAUGAGGUCAUUGACGUGAGUGUACUUUUAAUGUUUUACACUUUAAUAUGCAAGUGUAUGCUUAUUGCUGCUGUUGCUCCUGGCCUUCAAAUCUUGACACACCAUCCCAGAGCUCCCAGCCUGUGAAUGGAUCUUGCACCCUUGGGGAAGCAAGGAGGGGCUUGAAGUUCCCCCGAGGAGUUAGGUCGGUGUGCCAUAAAUGUAUUCAUGCUGACUUGGUUUUGAAGGGUGGCCCUCAUAUAGAAAAGAGUGCAGAUCCUAAGCACACGGUUCGAUGAGUUUUCACACACAAAACGCACACACAGUUGUGUACCCAGCACCUAGAUUAAGAAUCAGCAGACGGAGUUCCCGUCGUGGCUCGGUGGUUAACAAAUCCAGCUAGGAACCACAGGGUUGCAGGUUCGAUCCCUGGCCUUGCUCAGCCAGGGAACCUCCAUAUGCCACGGGAGCGGCCCAAGAAAAUGGCAAAAAGACAAAAAAAUAAAUAAAUAUAAAAAGAAUCAGCAGAGACAGUCCCCCAGAAACCACACACACACACACACACACACACACACACACACACACACACCCAUUGCCCAAGUAGAUUGCCAGGGGGGUGUUGAUUCAUCACCUGGGAGAGACGUGAUUUACAAGCGUUGCCAGCAUCGCGGUAGCCUUGUCCGUGCUGUGCUUUUUCUAAUAAACAGAAUUUUAAAGCUAUGGUUGGCAUUACAUCAUCAAUCUUUUUUAAACCCUGAACGGAUUCCUCAGGUUUAAAAGCUUGCAGAGCUCUUCGGGGCACUCUUAGUGCGUGUUCUUAAAUGUUCUCUUUCUGGCUGAAAUGACCAUGAGGUGAUAAGAAGUGUUUGGUUCUCUGGGAACCGUGUUUGCUGUUCCCUUUUGUUUGCCUUUCUCAGGUUGUAAACUCCCAGCAAAGGAA